rnacentral:rRNA from 1 species
CACGUAGGGGGCAAGCGUUGUCCGGAAUUACUGGGCGUAAAGGGCGUGUAGGCGGUCUUUUAAGUCAGUGGUGAAAAGUAAGGGCUCAACCCUUACCUUGCCAUUGAAACUGAAAGACUUGAGGGCAGGAGAGGUAAGUGGAAUUCCUAGUGUAGCGGUGAAAUGCGUAGAUAUUAGGAAGAACACCAGUGGCGAAGGCGACUUACUGGCCUGUCUCUGACGCUGAGGCGCGAAAGCGUGGGGAGCGAACAGG